CGAGGUGCACAACCCCUGGUACCCCCUAGUCCCACCCCAGCCUGGACCCCCCACUGUGUGUCCCCCCAGAGACCAGAGCGAGGUGCGCAACCCCUGGUACCCCCUAGUCCCACCCCAGCCUGGACCCCCCACUGUGUCCCCCCCCAGAGACCAGAGCGAGGUGCGCAACCCCUGGUAUCCCCUAGUCCCACCCCAGCCUGGACCCCCCACUGUGUGUCCCCCCAGAGACCAAAGCGAGGUGUGCAACCCCCUACUGCUGCCUGUGGUACCCCUGCCCCCCAGCCUGAACCUCCCAUGGCAUCCCUACUGGGGAGCAGAGCGAGGUGUGCAACCCCCACCUCCAGCCUGACCCCCUCCUCAUGGCAUCCCUACUGGGGAGCAGAGCGAGGUGUGCAACCCUCACCUCCAGCCU